GUGGACAAGAAGCUGGAUAUGAGUCAACAGUGUGCCCUUGUUGCCAAGAAGGCUAACGGGGCCUCAGGUGGCCACAGGCAACAAUGAGGAGGACAUUGUUGAUGAUGAGGAGGAGAAUGCACAGCAGGCAAGUGGAGGAUCCAUUCUCCCCAACAGCCAAGACCUUCUCCUAACUCUGGAGCCAAUCCCCUCCCAGGACCUACUGUUGCGGGACCGUGAAGGCACCUCUGCUGCAACCUUGUCUGUGGGUGCUUCCUCCACACCAGCACAAAGGUUGUCCCACGGCACCGGGCAGCACAGAGCACCAGGUCAGGCCGGGCUCUGCAGCUGCGCUACCACAAGAGCUCACAGCCCCACAGCCC